AACGAACGCUGGCGGCAUGCCUAACACAUGCAAGUCGAACGAAGGCUUCGGCCUUAGUGGCGCACGGGUGCGUAACGCGUGGGAACCUGCCCCUCGGUUCGGAAUAACAGUUAGAAAUGACUGCUAAUACCGGAUGAUGACUUCGGUCCAAAGAUUUAUCGCCGAGGGAUGGGCCCGCGUAGGAUUAGCUAGUUGGUGGGGUAAAGGCCUACCAAGGCGACGAUCCUUAGACUGGUCUGAGAGGAUGAUCAGCCACACUGGGACUGAGACACGGCCCAGACUCCUACGGGAGGCAGCAGUGGGGAAUAUUGGACAAUGGGCGAAAGCCUGAUCCAGCAAUGCCGCGUGAGUGAUGAAGGCCUUAGGGUUGUAAAGCUCUUUUACCAGGGAUGAUAAUGACAGUACCUGGAGAAUAAGCUCCGGCUAACUCCGUGCCAGCAGCCGCGGUAAUGUAGACGU
rnacentral:rRNA from 1 species